GACGAACGCUGGCGGCGUGCCUAAUACAUGCAAGUAGAACGCUGAAGAGAGGAGCUUGCUCUUCUUGGAUGAGUUGCGAACGGGUGAGUAACGCGUAGGUAACCUGCCUGGUAGCGGGGGAUAACUAUUGGAAACGAUAGCUAAUACCGCAUAAAAUUGAUUAUUGCAUGAUAAUUAAUUGAAAGAUGCAAUUGCAUCACUACCAGAUGGACCUGCGUUGUAUUAGCUAGUUGGUGAGGUAACGGCUCACCAAGGCGACGAUACAUAGCCGACCUGAGAGGGUGAUCGGCCACACUGGGACUGAGACACGGCCCAGACUCCUACGGGAGGCAGCAGUAGGGAAUCUUCGGCAAUGGGGGGAACCCUGACCGAGCAACGCCGCGUGAGUGAAGAAGGUUUUCGGAUCGUAAAGCUCUGUUGUAAGAGAAGAACGGGUGUGAGAGUGGAAAGUUCACACUGUGACGGUAUCUUACCAGAAAGGGACGGCUAACUACGUGCCAGCAGCCGCGGUAAUACGUAGGUCCCGAGCGUUGUCCGGAUUUAUUGGGCGUAAAGCGAGCGCAGGCGGUUAGAUAAGUCUGAAGUUAAAGGCUGUGGCUUAACCAUAGUAUGCUUUGGAAACUGUUUAACUUGAGUGCAGAAGGGGAGAGUGGAAUUCCAUGUGUAGCGGUGAAAUGCGUAGAUAUAUGGAGGAACACCGGUGGCGAAAGCGGCUCUCUGGUCUGUAACUGACGCUGAGGCUCGAAAGCGUGGGGAGCAAACAGGAUUAGAUACCCUGUAGUCCACGCCGUAAACGAUGAGUGCUAGGUGUUAGGCCCUUUCCGGGGCUUAGUGCCGCAGCUAACGCAUUAAGCACUCCGCCUGGGGAGUACGACCGCAAGGUUGAAACUCAAAGGAAUUGACGGGGGCCCGCACAAGCGGUGGAGCAUGUGGUUUAAUUCGAAGCAACGCGAAGAACCUUACCAGGUCUUGACAUCCCUCUGACCGCUCUAGAGAUAGAGUUUUCCUUCGGGACAGAGGUGACAGGUGGUGCAUGGUUGUCGUCAGCUCGUGUCGUGAGAUGUUGGGUUAAGUCCCGCAACGAGCGCAACCCCUAUUGUUAGUUGCCAUCAUUCAGUUGGGCACUCUAGCGAGACUGCCGGUAAUAAACCGGAGGAAGGUGGGGAUGACGUCAAAUCAUCAUGCCCCUUAUGACCUGGGCUACACACGUGCUACAAUGGCUGGUACAACGAGUCGCAAGCCGGUGACGGCAAGCUAAUCUCUGAAAGCCAGUCUCAGUUCGGAUUGUAGGCUGCAACUCGCCUACAUGAAGUCGGAAUCGCUAGUAAUCGCGGAUCAGCACGCCGCGGUGAAUACGUUCCCGGGCCUUGUACACACCGCCCGUCACACCACGAGAGUUUGUAACACCCGAAGUCGGUGAGGUAACCGUAAGGAGCCAGCCGCCUAAGGUGGGAUAGAUGAUUGGGGUG
rnacentral:rRNA from 1 species